ACUUUGGUCUUGACGAAGUUUAAACGAAUUUAUAUUGCUGGAAAUUUAAAGUAUAAUGUUUGCGAAGAGUUUUCAACGAAUUUCAAUCACUAAUUCAAUAAUUAUGAUGCUAGGAAAUCAAAUGUGCACGUUUCAAUGUUACGGAAUGUUCUAAAUAUGUUUAGGAUGUAUUUAGAAUGCUUUGUUAUUGUUGUGAGUGAUUAGAAGUUGAUUGGGAAUAUUUGUUGGUUGUUUUAGGCGGAGAAUUCUCUUUAGGCGACUUCUGAAAGUGUUAAAGUGGCCUAUUAGUUUGUUUACACAAGUCUCUAAGGAUCAAUAAGCGUUGCCCAUCUACAGGUUUGAAGAUGAUGCAUCAUUGGGAUCGGGAUUAGAGAGCUUAUAGUUCUAUUUGUUUAAUUAAGUGAUUUAAUUUGUUAACUUAUAUUUGAAAGUUGUCGUACUAUUCGUAUUUCUUUAUUUCCGUUAAUUGGUUUUGGACUUAAUAUGUAAUCAAUUAUUUAUGAACCUAAAAGUUAGUUUUAUGUUUUCCGCUGCAAAA